rnacentral:rRNA from 1 species
UACGAAGGGGGCUAGCGUUGUUCGGCAUCACUGGGCGUAAAGGGCGCGUAGGCGGCUUUGUAAGUCGGGGGUGAAAGCCUGUGGCUCAACCACAGAAUUGCCUUCGAUACUGCAUGGCUUGAGACCGGAAGAGGUUAGUGGAACUGCGAGUGUAGAGGUGAAAUUCGUAGAUAUUCGCAAGAACACCAGUGGCGAAGGCGGCUCACUGGCCCGAUACUGACGCUGAGGCACGAAAGCGUGGGGAGCAAACAGG